rnacentral:rRNA from 1 species
UACAGAGGGUGCGAGCGUUAAUCGGAAUUACUGGGCGUAAAGCGUGCGUAGACGGUUGCGCAAGUCAGAUGUGAAAGCCCCGGGCUCAACCUGGGAAUUGCAUUUGAGACUGCGCAGCUAGGGUGCGGAAGAGGGAAGCGGAAUUUCCGGUGUAGCGGUGAAAUGCGUAGAUAUCGUAAGGAAGACCAGUGGCGAAGGCGGGUCUCUGGACAGUUCCUGACGCUGAGGCACGAAGGCCAGGGGAGCGAACGGG